rnacentral:lncRNA from 1 species
GGAAGGAGAAGGAGACGCUGCGCUGACAAGUGGGUCCCAGCGGUCAGCGAUAGCGAAGGGCAGGGCCCAGUUGCCAGAUAGAGAGAGGGGAAGGGAAGGGCGGGCGGCUGGGCUGCGUUUCGGCCGAGGUGGGGGAACUGGGUCGUAGGGCACUAGGCCGUUGCGCGAUGCGGGGCGGGGAGAAGCUGGGCUAGGGAAAGGAAGUGGGCCGCGCAAGGGGGAAGCUAGGAGGGGGUUUGGCUACUGGCUUUCUUUUUUUCCAUUUUUUUCUUUUCCAAAACCCUUUUCCAAAAGAGCUUUUAAUUUCGUAAAAAUUUAUUUAUUUACUACAUUAAAUGCUCACAAAAAUACUUAAUUGAAUCAAAUUAAUUCCUGUUAAUAGAAAUCGAAUUUUUGGGUGUUAUAGAGGAUGAUGCCACAAGUGAUAUAAAUGAUGAUGCUAUCCCAUGCACACUUGAUGGUGAAGAUGAUGGCUAUGAGAGUGAUGCUUCUAUAAGCUCUCCAACAUCACCACAUUGCUUUAUGUCACAUGGUGACACCAAGGUAUCAAUUGGUAA